UACGGGGUGGGCAAGCGUUGUUCGGAAUUACUGGGCGUAAAGGGCGCGUAGGCGGCCUGCUAAGUCGGAUGUGAAAUCCCUCGGCUCAACCGAGGAACUGCAUCCGAUACUGGCGGGCUUGAAUCCGGGAGAGGGAUGUGGAAUUCCAGGUGUAGCGGUGAAAUGCGUAGAUAUCUGGAGGAACACCGGUGGCGAAGGCGGCAUCCUGGACCGGUAUUGACGCUGAGGCGCGAAAGCUAGGGGAGCAAACGGG
rnacentral:rRNA from 1 species